GUUUUGCGUAAGGGAUUGAAGUGGAAAUCCUUUUUAUUUUUUUUAAAAUAAAAAGAUUGCAACAGAAAGCCCGACCCGAA
rnacentral:sRNA from 1 species